GUUGUCCGCUCUGUAACUCUUCAACCCUUUGAAGAAUUUUGAUGAAACUUCAGACAAAUGUUUACCACAUCAAGAUGACGUGCAGAACGCAUGUUCCGCAUGGCUGGCUCCAAGGUCAAGGUCACAGUGACAUUAACAUUGAAAAUCCUGUCCGCUCUGUAACUCUUCAACCCUUUGAAGAAUUUUGAUGAAACUUCAGACAAAAUGUUUACCACAUCAAGAUGACGUGCAGAACGCAUGUUCCGCAUGGCUGGCUCCAAGGUCAAGGUCACAGUGACAUUAACAUUGAAAAUCCUGUCCGCUCUGUAACUCUUCAACCCUUUGAAGAAUUUUGAUGAAACUUCAGACAAAUGUUUACCACAUCAAGAUGACGUGCAGAACGCAUGUUCCGCAUGGCUGGCUCCAAGGUCAAGGUCACAGUGACAUUAAACAUUGAAAAUCCUGUUUACAUGAUUUUAACUUGAAAUUGUGUCCGCUCUGUAACUCUUCAACCCUUUGAAGAAUUUUGAUGAAACUUCAGACAAAUGUUUACCACAUCAAGAUGACGUGCAGAACGCAUGUUUGCCGCAUGGCUGGCUCCAAGGUCAAGGUCACAGUGACAUUAACAUUUGAAAAUCCUGUCCGCUCUGUAACUCUUCAACCCUUUUGAAGAAUUUUGAUGAAACUUCAGACAAAUGUUUACCACAUCAAGAUGACGUGCAGAACGCAUGUUCCGCAUGGCUGGCUCCAAGGUCAAGGUCACAGUGACAUUAACAUUGAAAAUCCUGUUUACAUGAUUUUAACUUGAAAUUGUGUCCGCUCUGUAACUCUUCAACCCUUGAAGAAUUUUGAUGAAACUUCAGACAAAUGUUUACCACAUCAAGAUGACGUGCAGAACGCAUGUUCCGCAUGGCUGGCUCCAAGGUCAAGGUCACAGUGACAUUAACAUUGAAAAUCCUGUUUACAUGAUUUUAACUUGAUUUGGCAGUCAAAGGUCAUAUCAUC